UAAUGUAUUGCUUUUCUUUUCAAAGGGGUACCUUGCUCCUAAAUUUGCUCUUUUUCCUGCUAGAUAAUGGAGGUUAUUCAAAUUGGGGCAGAGGUGGUGGGCGAGGCCGAGGAUGGGGAUAUCGUGGUGCUGGAUAUCAAGGAGGCAGAGGUGGAGGUGGCAGGGGGUACAACCGUGGCAGGGGAAGGAUGGGUGGUGGAAGGAUGAGCGGUGGUCGGUCAAGAGGAGAUGGCGGUAACCAAGCAUAAGUGUGAUAGGUACCCUUUCAGCUUUAGCUAAAUGCUUUGCCUUGGCCAGUGGGGAAAAUUUUUAAAUGAUUACUAUUUUUAAUAGUGUGAAAUGUGGGUGGGUUAUGAUGGUUCUGCAGCAUUGUUAAGCAGUGGUUGUGUUUAUUUUCUUCUAUAUCUGGAUGUGGGCAAGGUUGUUUUGUUCUUUUCCUGCAUUUAGCCAAGAUCAAGGGGUCAUUUCUGUAAUUGGUUUUACUUGCUUGUCAAUUCUCUGUUUUCUGUCUAUAUUUAUCAUCAUAUAUCUUUAUUGCUUCAACUGGA